GUUUGGGGUAAAAAGCGGAGGUUUUGGGGUGCAGGGGGAGGGGGUUUGGGGUAUGAAGAGUUUGGGGUGUUGGGAGGUUGAGGCUAAGAGGGUUAUGGGGUGCAAAGGGGACGUUGGGGAGCAAGGAGGGGAUUUUGGGGUACUGGGGGAGGUUUUGGGGUACAAAGAGGGGAUUUUGUGUGUGAAGAAAGAGGUUUAGGGGUAAAAAGGGGAAGUUUUAGGGUGCAGAGAGGAAUUUUGGGAUUUUGGGGGUGCACAGUUUGGGGUAAAAAGAGGUUUUGCCGUGCAGGGAGGAGGGGUUUUGGGGUGCAGGGGGAGGUUUUUGGGUGCAGGUGGGCCCUGGGGUGCUCCUCUGGUUUGCAAACUCCUCUCCCUCACCCACAGAAGCCUCAGCCCCCUCCCCAGGCCCCCCAACCCCCCCGGCCCCCCCAAAAAAGGGGCUCUUCACCGACGACCUGCACCGGCUGGUGGAUGAGUGGGUCCAGGACACGGCCAGGGCCCAGGCCACCUCCUCCUGGGUCUCCACCCUGCGUGGCACUCGUGGGACCCCCCGAAAAUGGGGGGAGCUGCCCCCCCCAAAACCUGCCCUGCGUGGGGGGGGCAGCCCCCUCCCCCCAGGGGCCGAGUGAGGGGGGGUCCCCAGACCCUGACCCCUCCAACCCCCCUGAUUUUGGGUCAAAACCCCAAUUUUCAGCCCCCAAAUUCCUUUGUUUCACCCCAAAACCCCCUUGUUUUACUCCCACAUUGGGUGACCCCAAAUUUCCAGCCCUAAAAUGACCUCGUUUCACCUCAAAAUUCCCCUAAUUUGGGUCCUGUGCUGUGACCCCUAUUUCUGGCCCCAAAAUUGCCUUAUUUUGCCCUAAAAUUCCCCCUUUUUUGCUGCCCCCUUGGGCUGAAUUUUUGGCCUCAAUUCACCCCCAAAAUCCCCUUUUUAGGAUACUCAAGCCCCCCCCCCCCUCAAUUUCUGGCCCCGAAACCACCUCAUUUUGACCCCAAAUUCCCCCUUUUUGGAUCCAAAAUCUCUCUAUUGUAUCCCAACCCCCCUUUUUUUGUGUUACUCCCUGUUUGCAAGGUGACUGCACUUUCUGGUGCCCAAAAUCCCCUCAUUUCACUCCAAAACUCCCCUUUUUUGUGCCCUGCCAACCCCAAUUUUCUGCCCUAAAUCCCUCAUUCUACCCCAAAAUUCCCUUUUUGGGCCUUUCCCCCUCUGCAUGAGGUGACCCCAUUUUUUAGCCCCCAAAUCACCUCAUUUCACCCCAAAAAUCUCAUUUUUUGUGGCCUUUCCACGUCUCUUUUCCACCUCCCUGAACGUGAUGCCACUUGUUGGCCCCAAAAUUGCCUUGUUUCAUCCCAAAACCCCUUUUUUUGGGCCUAUCUCCCCUUUUUUUACCCCUCCUACAACAUUACCCCACUUUUUGCUCCCCAAAUCGCAUAAUUUCAUCCCAAAAAUUCUCUUUUAGGGCCUGCCCUUCCCCCACAGGAUAUCAUCCCAGUUUUCAGCCCCAAAAUCUCCUCAUUUCAGACAAAAAUCCCUUUUUUUGGGCCUUGCCACUCUUUUGUCCCCACACAAAGCAACCCAAUUUUUAGCCCUUAAACGGCUUCAGUUUGCCCUAAAACACAAACAGUUGAACCCCGAUGUUUCAUUUAUCUAAAAAUUCCUCUUUUUUCCCCCUGAAAACACUUCAGAGUCCCCAGAAUUCCCAUUUUUCACCCAAAGCCCCUCACAGGCUUGGAAUUUUUCCUAAUGUGACCACAGUAGAGGCAGGUGGGCUGUACUGGGUUUACUGGUGACCCACCCCCCCAUACUGGUCAUACUGGUGCAACAACCCCCUCUCAUUCCUGUACCCUCAACCCAUUUUUGGGUCAUUUUGUCGUGUUUUCCUCUCAUCUACCUCACCCCUUCACCAAGCCAGCAAGGUUUCGGGGUGAAUUCUCGAGUGUUCUGGUUCGAGAGGGUGGGGAAGGCGUUUGUUUUGCGGGGAAAUUGUUAAAAAGCGCGAAAAAAAAAAAAAAAAUCCUAAAAUGUAAGAAAUAAAAGCGUGGCUGGUGCGCGCCACUCCCAAAAUGGCGGCCGGACCGCGACAGUCGAGCGGCGAAGGCGGCGCCACGCCCAAGAUGGCGGCCCCGCCCCCCGCACACCCAAUGGGGGCGCCCUCGCCCUUCCCAAGAUGGCGGCGCGACGCGGCCAAAAUGGCGGCCGAGCCCCGCCCUCUCCCUCCCCGUUUCCGCGUUUGAAUAAAACUUUCCCGGGCGGCCCGGAGCGCGCAGAGGCCGCGGCGGCGGCGGCAGCACCGGGCCCGGGGCCGGCAGCGGCGGUAGCGACCGGGCGGCGGCGGAGGAGCGGCCGCGAGAAGCGCUGGGCCUUGCCGGGGCGGGCUGCGGCCUAGUCGGGAGGUGGCGGUGGGGGGGGGCGCAGGCCUCGCGGCGGCCCGCAGGCCUCGAGGGGGUCCCGCCGGCCUUGUGGGGGUGUCGGCGGCUUUUUGGGGAUCCCCAAAGCUUUUAGGGGGUCCUUCGGGUCUUUGGGGGGUCUCGGGGGCUCCACAACGCGGGGGGAGGGGGAGGCCGGGGCCCCGCGGACGCUGUGAGGGGACCCCGGGCCUUGCGGCGCUUUUGGGGGUCCCCACACGCUAUAGGGGUGGAGGGCGUCCUGUGGGCGCAUUUUUGGGGGGCUCUGGGCCUCGGGGAGGGGGUCACAGUGCCUCGGUGACCCUUGGAGGGGUCGCCCUACAUCUCUGUGUAUUUUUGGGGAGGUCUUAGGCUCUCAUCAAUACCUGAGGGGAUCCCAAGUCUCCGCAGGCUCUUUUAGGGUGCCCCCGGCCCAUAUCGGUUUUUUUAGGGGGUUGUGCUCCCCAAUUCCCCUCAGGGCCGCGGUCUGGGGGGGCUUUGGGGGUGUUUACAGGGGAGCAGCCUAGGGCUUGAUUUUGGGGUUUUUUUUUUUUGAUUUUUUUUUUUCUUUUUUGCGGGAGUUUUUUGGGGGGUGUUUUAGGGGAGUUUUCGGAGGCUGUUCUUGUGUUUUUGCUGAGGUUGUUCUAGGGGGGGAUUCUGAGGCUGUUUCUGGGGUUUUUUUGGGCAGUUUUGGAGAUCUUUUUGAGGCUGCCUUUGGAGUGAUUUUGAGGGUGUUUUUUGGGUUUUUUUUUUGAGGGGAUUUUCGGGGGUCUGGCGGGCAGUGCGCGGAUGUCCCGGGCCGGGGGGGGUCGCGGGGGUCCGUAGGGUCGGGG
ensembl:lncRNA